UUUUGAAAAAAUAUAUAUAAUUUGAUUUCUCCUACUAAUUUGCUUAUUCGAACUCACUUCGUUUGUUGGUGAAUGUACCUAACCUCAUUUCAAUUGGAACUUAUUUGUGUUACUUCUUUGGCUGUUUUUCUAAAUUAGUUGAAUCAUUCAAAUUCGGUGUUUGCUUUCUUUAUUUCUGCUAUUCAAAUGAUUGAAAUUUGUAACGAUGCCACGAAGAGAUCGUACCACGGACCAAUGUAAUUAUACAGCACAUCGUACGGAAAAGAAAAAUGCUUACUGUAAGGGAAUCUGCUCGAAUCGGAAUGAUUGAAUAUCGUGCGCGACAAUCACCUACGUGCGCGAGGCCUACGCAGCUUACAAUGAGCAAUAACGAUUGAAAAGAAGACAAGUUCAUGCUUAGGAAAUUCAUAAAGCAAAAGAACAAAGUUUGGCUGCUCAUUGACAACGCCAGCAACAACAACGUUUACCUCCUUCGAAUAUCGAAUGAAUUGCUAACUUAUCAUCACUAUCGGAAUAAAUUAAAAUUUUCUGUAAAAAAUCUUCAUCCAUUGAAUACCAAUAAUUACAAGAUAUUUUAGUCAAAUCGGUUCAACUAUA